CGCCUCUUGACUAACUAUAAGAGGUCCAGCCUGCCCAGUGAAAAAGUUUCAACGGCCGCGGUACCCUAACCGUGCAAAGGUAGCAUAAUCACUUGUCCCUUAAAUAGGGACUAGUAUCAACGGCACCACGAGGGUUACACUGUCUCCUCUAUCUAAUCAGUGAAACUGAUCUCCCCGUGAAGAAGCGGGGAUAUAACUAUAAGACGAGAAGACCCCAUGGAGCUUUAAACCCUACUGCAACUCAAUUACAUAAUUCCUUUUAGCUUAUAGAGCUAUUGCAUAACGGUUUUAGGUUGGGGUGACCGCGGAGUAAAAACUAACCUCCACAACGAAAAGACCUAUAUCUUUAUUUAAGAGUUACUGCUCUAAAAAUUAGUACACUAACGGACAAUGACCCGAUAAUCGAUCAACGGACCAAGUUACCCUGGGGAUAACAGCGCAAUCUACUUCGAGAGUCCAUAUCGACAAGUAGGCUUACGACCUCGAUGUUGGAUCAGGGUAUCCUAGUGGUGCAGCCGCUACUAAUGGUUCGUUUGUUCAACGAUUAAAACCCU
rnacentral:rRNA from 1 species